UAAUAAGUGUUUUAUGGCACUUUUUAAAUCCAUAUCCACCUUGUGUGCAAUGUCAGUCGAUCUUCUUCAUGGAGAUCGACCAAACAUCAACCUUUAUCUUUUAACUCUUUGUCUGAAAAAUAUUAUGAAUAAACAAUUCAAAAUAG
rnacentral:misc_RNA from 1 species